ACAAAAGAAAACACAAACAAAAAUCAGAAGAAAAAAAUCUUCACCAAGAACCAACAGAAAAACAAAUCGUCAAAAACCUGCUUCGUUUUUGCAUUGACAUUCUGGUUUUUUUUUUUUUGGUUUUGAUGUAAUUUUUUUUAUAUCAGUGUGCAAAUGAGAGAGCAAAAACAGUUUUAACAACAACAACAAUAAAAAGUGCUUCAACAAUUCUAACGCUCUGCUCUGCUGCCAGCCGCAUUGGCAGAUUGUCAACGCUUUCAUUUGACGUUGUUUAGCCAUACCGUGCGCGUCGUCGUCCACUGUCGUCGUCGCCGUCGCUGUCGCCGUUUGUCGUCUCGUCGCAGACGACGUCACAGUCUAAAAAGUUGCGUCAGUUCAGCCAAACAAAAAAAAUUUAAAAAAAAAAACCAAAAACAAGAAAACAACAAAAAUACAGCCAAAAGACUAACUUUUGCGGGAUUAUUUUUUUACAAGUGCCUAAAAAAUACUUUUUACAAAAACCCAAACAGCAGCCACAGCCACACAGCAACAACGUUAACA